UACGGAGGGGGCGAGCGUUAUUCGGAAUUAUUGGGCGUAAAGGGCUCGUAGGUGGCCAACUAAGUCAGACGUGAAAUCCCUCGGCUUAACCGGGGAACUGCGUCUGAUACUGGAUGGCUUGAGUUCGGGAGAGGGAUGCGGAAUUCCAGGUGUAGCGGUGAAAUGCGUAGAUAUCUGGAGGAACACCGGUGGCGAAGGCGGCAUCCUGGACCGACACUGACACUGAGGAGCGAAAGCCAGGGGAGCAAACGGG
rnacentral:rRNA from 1 species